rnacentral:lncRNA from 1 species
ACCCACGCCGGCGGGAGCCGCCCGUUCGCGCUGCCAGCAGCUUCCGCCUGCUACGGUCCUGGCAAGCACCUCGGGAUCCCAUUCCUUCACAGGGACCCUAGCCAGUUAAAGCUGAUACAUUCCUGUGGGUCAACUAUGCAACUAACUCAGAUUUUGAGCAAACAAAGCUCUCAAGUUGGUGAUCCUCAGGAGUCUCUGCAUUAGUUGGACAGCUCUUCUGGAAUUAUCUUCUAAGUCAACUGUGGGUUGGGUAGGUGGCUCUGCUGAUUUUUCGCUGGACUUCCACAUUUGGGACGAGUUGGCUGUCAUCAGCUCUAGAAAGGGUGUGGCCGUUUUACAUUGGCUGUUUUCCUCACAUUCCUCAAGCAGAAUUUCCUUUCAUCUCUGGUAAAAGUCAGCUCUCUAACUACUGCAUCUCACAGCUGAACAGAUAACUGAUACCGUGCUUCCAGAAGAUUUUUCUAACAGUGUUUGCAAGCUAUAAAAUAGUGCUUUCACUUAGAAAAGGCUAGACGUGGUGGUUCAUGCCUGUAAUCCCAGCACUUUGAGAGGCCGAGGCACCAUGCUGGGAGAUAAGGAUCCAACAUAAGACAAACAGUGCUGAUGCUUUUGGAAAGCUCAUAUUCAAGCUGGGGAGACAAACAACAUACAAAAGUUCUCAUCAUGAUACUUUAAGGAUGAGGACAGCUGAUGUGGCUGGCCUGAAAAAUAAGGUGGCUGUAGCUACCUUCUGCAUAUGGAUAUCCAGUUUUCCCAGCACCACUUAUUAAAGAGACUGUCUUUUCUGCAGUGUAUAUUCUUGGCACCGUUGUUGAAAAUGAAUUCAUUGUAGGUGUGUGGGUUUGUUUCUGGGUUCUCUAUUCUGUUCAACUUGUCUAUGUGUCUGUUUUUAUGCCAGUACCGUGUCAUUUUAGUUACCAGAGCUCUGCAGUAUAAUUUGAAACCAGGUCAUGUGAUUCCUCCAGUUUUGUGGUAUUAGGAUAGGUUUGGCUAUUCUGAGUCUUUUGUGGUUCCAUAUAAAUUUUAGAAUUUUUUUUUUCUAUUUCUGUGAAGAAUGUCAUUGGUAUUUUGAUAGGGAUUGCGUUGAAUCUGUAGAUUGCUUUGGGUAGUAUGGACAUUUUAACAAUAUUCAUUCUUCUAAUCCAUGAACAUGGAAUACCUUUCCAUUUUUUGGUGUCCAUUUCAAUUUCUUUCAUCAGUCUUAUACUUUUCAUUAUAGAGAUCUUUCACUUCUUGGAUUAACUCCUAUGUAUUUAAUUUUACUUGUAGCUAUUGUAAAUGGGAUUACUUUUUUUUUUUUUUUUGACGGAGUUUCACCCUUGGCAUCCAGGCUAGUGUGCAAUGGCGCAACCUCAGCUCACUGCAACCUCCACCUCCCAGGUUCAAGCAAUUCUCCUGCCUCAGCCUCCUGAGUAGCUGGAAUUACAGGUGCCCGCCACCACACCCGGCUAAUUUUUGUAUUUUUAGUAGAGACAGGGUUUCACCACGUUGGUCAGGCUGGUCUUGAACUCCUGACCUCAGAUGAUCUGCCCACCUCGACCUCCCAAAGUGCUGGGAUUACAGGCAUGAGCCACCACUUCCAGCAAGGGAUUACUUUUUUAAUCUCUUUUUCAGAUUUUUCACUGUUGGCAUAUAGAAAUCCUACUAAUUUUUGUAUGUUGAUUUUGUAUCCUGGAACUUUACUGAAUCUGUUUAUAAUUUGUGUAUUUGUUUAUAGUAGUUUUUUGGUGGACUCUUUCAGUUUUUCCAAAUAUAAGAUCAUAUCAUUGGCAAACAAGGACAGUUUGAUUUCUUCUAUUCCAAUUUGGAUGCCUUUAUUUCUUUCUGUUGUCUGAUUGCUCUAGUUAGGACUUCCAGUACUAUGUUGAAUAACAGUGAUGAAAGUGGGCAUCCUUGCCAUGUUCCAGAUCUUAGAAAAGAGGCUUUCAGUUUUUCACCAUUCAGUUUGAUACUAGCUGUGGCAGCUUCCAUGAGAAUCACGCAGUUUGAAGAAGCAUUUCACUGAAAAAUAGGGAUUGCUGUUCUGGAAAGACAAAACAAUUGUCUACAAUUCUAAAGAAGAAGUGAACACAAUAAUUAAAUCAAUGUUAUUCUGGGUCUAAAGCUUAUAUUCUUAAUUACUAUAUUAUCCCAUCUUAAAAUUUUAAUUUGGAAAUUAUAUAUCUAAAUAUUAUAAUCAAUAAAGUUGAACACA